GGCGGGUCUCCCCGCAUGGUGAAACUGCCAACCUGGUCAGGUCCGGAAGGAAGCAGCCACAGCAGCGGAUGCCAGUGCCGGGGGUCAGGCUCGCCACC
rnacentral:SRP_RNA from 1 species